rnacentral:rRNA from 1 species
GAUGAACGCUGGCGGCGUGCCUAAUACAUGCAAGUCGAGCGGUAAGGCCCCUUCGGGGGUACACGAGCGGCGGACGGCUGAGUAGCGCGUAGGAACGUACCCCAAAGUGAGGGAUAAGCACCAGAAAUGGUGUCUAAUACCGCAUGUGAUCUACGGAUUAAAGCCUUCGGGCGCUUUGGGAGCGGCCUGCGUAAGAUUAGCUUGUUGGUGAGGUAAAAGCUCACCAAGGCGACGAUCUUUAGCUGGUCUGAGAGGAUGACCAGCCAGACUGGAACUGAGACACGGUCCAGACUCCUACGGGAGGCUG